GGGAAACAGAGGGUGGGGCCAGCCUCAGCCCCCGAAACAAGUUUGUGGGGCA
rfam:Rattus norvegicus chromosome 6, whole genome shotgun sequence.